GAUUAAUUAAUCUUUAAUUCUUUACUGCAUUAGAUGUGCAUUGCCUUCUAAUUAAUGUCGUCAUUAUCUACUUACUUUUAUUAGCAAAAUGGAUUAAAUUCAGUAACCCAAAAAAAAAAAAAAAAAAAAAUACCAAAUGUUGACCACUUUGGUCCCAUAAGAUGAUUGCUCUACCACUAUAUAAUGCUAAACAAGACCUUUCUCCAAAUCAUUCCAAAGUUUAUAAUAUUUUCUGUGUUAGAAAGUGCAGUUAAAAAAUAAAUAAAUCAAAAUAUGGCCAAAAUUCUGAUGAAGUCUGCAUUCUUUGUUGCCUUGUUGCUGAUCACCAUGGUUGCAGAUAUUCCAUCCUUCAAGGUUGAAGCAAGUCAUCAAUGUGAUAAGCCAUAUGAUUGUGAAGAACAGUGUCCUAAUAGUCCAGCAGCUGUUUGUAUUUUUCAUAGAUGCGUAUGUUGGUCCAAGAAAAAGCUUGAAGUGGCUACUAUACAAGGAGUGAUAAAUCCUAAAAAAUGAUGUGUUUAAUUUGAUAGAAUUGUACUAAUAUGGGUAUGUAAACUCUGAGAUCUUGAACUUGAGUAAUAUAUAAGUACAUGUUUUAAUAUUUA